GACGAACGCUGGCGGCGUGCUUAACACAUGCAAGCCGAACGGAAAGGCCCUGCUUGCAGGGUACUCGAGUGGCGAACGGGUGAGUAACACGUGGGUGAUCUGCCCUGCACUUCGGGAUAAGCCUGGGAAACUGGGUCUAAUACCGGAUAGGAGCCAUUUUUAGUGUGAUGGUUGGAAAGUUUUUUCGGUGUAGGAUGAGCUCGCGGCCUAUCAGCUUGUUGGUGGGGUAAUGGCCUACCAAGGCGGCGACGGGUAGCCGGCCUGAGAGGGUGGACGGCCACAUUGGGACUGAGAUACGGCCCAGACUCCUACGGGAGGCAGCAGUGGGGAAUAUUGCACAAUGGGCGCAAGCCUGAUGCAGCGACGCCGCGUGGGGGAGGACGGCCUUCGGGUUGUAAACUCCUUUCGCUAGGGACGAAGCUUUUUGUGACGGUACCUAGAUAAGAAGCACCGGCUAACUACGUG
rnacentral:rRNA from 1 species